UACGGGGGGGGGCAAGCGUUUGUUCGGAAUUACUGGGCGUAAAGGGCGCGUAGGCGGCCUACUAAGUCGGACGUGAAAUCCCUCGGCUCAACCGAGGAACUGCGUCCGAUACUGGCAGGCUGGAAUCCGGGAGAGGGAUGUGGAAUUCCAGGUGUAGCGGUGAAAUGCGUAGAUAUCUGGAGGAACACCGGUGGCGAAGGCGGCAUCCUGGACCGGUAUUGACGCUGAGGCGCGAAAAGCUAGGGGGAGCAAACGGGGAU
rnacentral:rRNA from 1 species